ensembl:rRNA 5S_rRNA 5S ribosomal RNA
GCUUACGGCCACACCGCCUGGUUCACGCCCGAUCUCGUUUGAUCUCGGAAGCUAAGAUAGGUUGGGCCUGGUUAGUACUUGGAUGGGAGACCGCCUGGGAAUACCAGGUGCUGUAAAGC